GGCUGACUAGCUCAGUUGGUUAGAGCGUCGUGCUAAUAACGCGAAGGUCUUGGGUUCGAUCCCCACGUUGGCCA
rnacentral:tRNA from 2 species